GACGAACGCUGGCGGCGUGCCUAAUACAUGCAAGUAGAACGCUGAAGGAGGAGCUUGCUUCUCUGGAUGAGUUGCGAACGGGUGAGUAACGCGUAGGUAACCUGCCUGGUAGCGGGGGAUAACUAUUGGAAACGAUAGCUAAUACCGCAUAAGAGUAGAUGUUGCAUGACAUUUGCUUAAAAGGUGCAAUUGCAUCACUACCAGAUGGACCUGCGUUGUAUUAGCUAGUUGGUGGGGUAACGGCUCACCAAGGCGACGAUACAUAGCCGACCUGAGAGGGGGAUCGGCCACACUGGGACGGAGACACGGCCCAGACUCCUACGGGAGGCAGCAGUAGGGAAUCUUCGGCAAUGGACGGAAGUCUAACCGAGCAACGCCGAGUGAGUGGAGAAGGUUUUCGGAUCGGAAAGCUCGGUUGUAAGAGAAGAACGAGUGUGAGAGUGGAAAGUUCACACUGUGACGGUAUCUUACCAGAAAGGGACGGCUAACUACGUG
rnacentral:rRNA from 1 species